CAAGAUUAUUCUCCCCAUGUCACAGAUAGAUGAAAUUGAGAUUUCCUUCACAGGUUCUGGCCGGCGUCCUCGCUCAGAGGUGCUGGCAGCAGGAGCGGGAAAUUCCUGUGAAACUGUUCGAUCCCUUCCUCCAAGGGGCCUCCUUAACAGCUGUCCUGUCGGCGUCGCCAGCUGCCCAGCCAGUUCCUGUCCCUUUCGGAGCCCGCGCUCGCCCCGCCUGACGCUCCGGGAGUCUGUCCUGCUGGGCCCCAGGCCCACCACAGACGGAAUGGAGUUCUCGGAGCUGAUCCGUACCGGCCGGGCCCAAGCCAAGCUCCUGCGGGGUCCGGAGGCGCCCCCACUGCGUGGCACGCUAUGCGUCACCGGCCACCACCUGCUGCUGUCGCCGGGGCCCCAGGCGACUUCAGACCUGUGGCUGCUGCUGUUGCGUAGGGUAGACUCCAUCGAGAAGCGGGUCUCGGGUGACUCCGGCACCAUCACGUUGCGCUGUAAGGACCUGCGAGUGUUGCAGCUGGACAUAGAGGGCGUGGAAGCCACGCUGGACAUCGCCCGUUCCAUCGAGGCGCUGUCGUCCUUGGAAUCGGUCAUCACUUCCUUUCCGUUCUUCUACCGUCCCAAGGGCUUGAGAUUGGGCGACGCCUGGCACUUCCACCCACCCGAACGCUACUACAAGCGAGUAGCUCGCGAGACCAACGCGUGGCGGCUGAGCGAGGUGAACGGGGACUUCAGCUUGUGCCCCAGUUACCCCCGCGCCGUGAUCGUGCCUCGCGCGGUAGACGACGAUGCCCUGGCGCGCUGCGCCCGCUUCCGCCAGGGAGGCCGCUUCCCUGUGCUCAGCUACCACCACGCUCCCAGCGGAACCGUGCUGCUCCGUUCCAGCCAGCCCCUGACUGGUCCCCAGAAAAGGCGCUGCGCUGAGGACGAGGAGCUGCUGCGAGCUGUGCUGGCGGGGGCUCGCCCUGGGGCCCGGGGCUUCGUCUUGGACACGCGCUCGGCUCAGGCCGCCAAACAGGCCCGCGUGACUGGCGGCGGCACCGAGGCCAAAGCCGCCUACCCGGGCUGGAAACGGCUGCACCGGCCCCUGGAGAGGGGAUGGCCCCUACAGGAGAGUUUCGUGCGCCUGGUGGAGGCCUGUGGAGACCUGGAGCAGAGCAUGGACCGCUGGCUCAGUCAUCUGGAGGCCUGCCACUGGCUGGCGCAUGUGAAGGAGGCACUCAGCACCGCCUGCCUAGCAGCCCAGGGCGUGGGGAGGGAAGGGGCCUGCGUCCUGGUGCAUGGGGCUGAAGGCAUGGACAGCACCCUGCUGGUGACUUCGCUGGCCCAGCUCAUCCUGGACCCCUCGAGCCGGACCAUAGCUGGAUUCCAGGAACUGGUGGAGCGGGAGUGGAUCCAGGCCGGCCACCCCUUCCAGCUGCGCUGUGCCCACUCGGCCUUCUCCCAUGCCCGCCCCAAGCACGAGGCACCCACCUUUCUCCUCUUCCUGGACUGCGUGUGGCAGCUGGGCCGCCAGUUCCCGCUGUCGCUGGAGUUUGGGGAGGGGCUGCUGCUGGCCCUGUUUGAGCACGCCUAUGCCUCCCCUUUUGGCACCUUCCUCUGCAGCAGCGAAAAGGAGAGUGUUCAGUACAGGAUCUGACUGGCAAGAACAUUUGCAGGAAAAAGGAGAGAUUAUCCCUGCCCCCAGGGUGGCUGUCACCCACCUAACCAGGGUUCCCAGUCCAGAAUCCCAGAAGGCAUAGCUUGAGUCUGGAAACUCACUGCCUACAGAUGCCUGUGUGAAGUGAGGACUCGAACUCACUCCUUGUGGUCUGGGCUCAACCAGCCAAAAGAGCAACGGAAACUCCGGAACCCGCUCUACGUCCCCAAUCCCUUGGCCAUCUGGCCUUCUGUGGAGCUCCAGACCCUGCGACUAUGGCAAGGCCUGUUUCUGCGCUGGAUCCGCCCGCCUGAAUCUUCAGAGGUAGCCUGGGAGAAGGUGUGGCAAAUAGUGACAGAUAAGAAGACCGAGGGCUGUGAGCCAACAGUUUCAGCCUCUGAGCCCCAACUUUAAGUGCUGGCUCCUUGGAUAGUGGUUGAGAUGUUCCGGAGACCCCUCCAGGUCCCUCAGCACCUUUGGACCUUGGAUGAGGGCGCCUGCAACCCAGCCUAGUCCAAAACAUACUGAAGCUCCAGGUUUGAAGUGUCUGUGGUGUAGGGAGGUCUAACUAAUAAAGAUCUCCAUGACUGGUAUCA